GCGUUAUCCGGAUUUAUUGGGUUUAAAGGGUCCGUAGGCGGACUUAUAAGUCAGUGGUGAAAGCCUGUCGCUUAACGAUAGAACUGCCAUUGAUACUGUAAGUCUUGAGUAUAUUUGAAGUAGCUGGAAUAAGUAGUGUAGCGGUGAAAUGCAUAGAUAUUACUUAGAACACCAAUUGCGAAGGCAGGUUACUAAGAUAUAACUGACGCUGAGGGACGAAAGCGUG
rnacentral:rRNA from 1 species